AUUGAACGCUGGCGGCAUGCCUUACACAUGCAAGUCGAACGGUAACAGGUCUUCGGAUGCUGACGAGUGGCGAACGGGUGAGUAAUACAUCGGAACGUGCCUAGUAGUGGGGGAUAACUACUCGAAAGAGUGGCUAAUACCGCAUGAGAUCUACGGAUGAAAGCAGGGGAUCGCAAGACCUUGUGCUACUAGAGCGGCCGAUGGCAGAUUAGGUAGUUGGUGGGAUAAAAGCUUACCAAGCCGACGAUCUGUAGCUGGUCUGAGAGGACGAUCAGCCAAACCGGGACUGAGACACGGCCCAGACUCCUACGGGAGGCAGCAGUGGGGAAUUUUGGACAAUGGGCGCAAGCCUGAUCCAGCAAUGCCGCGUGCAGGAUGAAGGCCUUCGGGUUGUAAACUGCUUUUGUACGGAACGAAAAGCCCCGGGUUAAUACCCUGGGGUCAUGACGGUACCGUAAGAAUAAGCACCGGCUAACUACGUGCCAGCCGCCGCCGUAA
rnacentral:rRNA from 1 species